AGAUUCUUAUAAACGGAUACAAGCUCUUGUCAAAUUAUCCAUAAUACAUUAGUCAUCGAAAUGCUUGAAGAAAGUAGUUUUUCUUAAUAUGGUAAAAACCUUAGCAUUGAGCGAGCCAAGGCGAUUUACUUUAUUAAUUGAAUCGACAAAAGGCGUGUAAAUCACAAAAGACCAAAUAAUAUUUUUCACAUUUAUUUUUAAUGUAUUUAUUAAUAGCUAUUAUUUAAAUAUAAAUUCAUUUUGCAA